rnacentral:lncRNA from 10 species
GUCUACAGUUGAGGAGACAGAGGCUCAAGCAGGGCAAGUCCUCUACCCAAGGGCACACAGCCCAGAGUGGGGAGGAUGGAGCCUGGUCAGCCUGGUCUGGUUAAUAAGGUCUUUUCAGGGUUGUGCAAGGCCCCCUACCUGCCCCUGACCAACUUGCCACAUUGAAAAGUGUGUGCUUGGCUUAUCCAACACCACCUUGUUGUCUAUACAACUACAGCAAGGAGCAUGGAGAGGUUUAGAAGAACCCUUGCCCUCCUUCAUUCAUUCUGCCCUGACUCAGCCCUGAGCUCUGCAAAGAUGCAUGCUCAGCACAAAUACAUCUUCACAUCUUAGUCCAAAUUCUGGAAAGUCUGAAUGCUCACAACCAGUGUGUUUUGCUGAGAAAACGGGCUGAUGACAAGUCAGCCUACUCUGUCCCUGUACAUGUGUGGCCU